rnacentral:rRNA from 1 species
UACGUAGGGGGCUAGCGUUGUCCGGAAUCAUUGGGCGUAAAGCGCGUGUAGGCGGUCCGGUAAGUCCGCUGUGAAAGUCGAGGGCUCAACCCUCGAAUGCCGGUGGAUACUGUCGGGCUUGAGUACGGGAGAGGCGAGUGGAAUUCCUAGUGUAGAGGUGAAAUUCGUAGAUAUUAGGAAGAACACCCGUGGCUAAGGCGGUUCUCUAGUACGGUACUGACGCUGAGACGCGAAAGCGUGGGGAGCGAACAGG